UCACUGUGUAGCCUUACAGGCUGAUAGGAUA
rnacentral:piRNA from 1 species